rnacentral:snRNA from 1 species
AUCACUUCUCAGCCUUUUGGCUAGGAGCAAGUGUAGUAUCUGUUCUCAGUUUGAUAAUAAUUGGCAUCAUUUUAUGAGCACUUAUAGGAGUGCCACAUACUAUGACAACGUUUACGUGUAUUAUCUCAUUAAGUCCUUAAAGCACCACAUUAAAAAACCAAUUAACUAUAU